AGGUUGAUAGUUGGUGUCGAAUUCUAUGAGCUCGACUGCCCAUUUUGCUAUCCUUCUAGAAACAUCCGCUCGAUACAGAACUGCCUUAAUCGGCUGAUCGGUGGGCAGUGUUAUGGUGUGCCCUUAAAAGUAAGGUCGGAGCCUUCGAGCUGUAAUCAACAAGGCGUAAGUUAGUUUCUCUAACUUAAUAUACCUGAUUUCGGUGUCUCU
rnacentral:lncRNA from 1 species